rnacentral:misc_RNA from 1 species
AAGGAUCAUUAUUGAAACACUCUGGUGAAUUAUCAAUAUAUAUACCCUGAAUGUUGACCCUUUACCCUGUGUUGCUUCCACCGGGUGUUGGUGGUCUGUAUGAGUUUGUGUAAGUGUGUAUGUAUGUCUGUGUGGUAGUGAUGAAUAGGACUUUUUUAAGUCUGGCUCUGUCUGCCAGCUGCCAGCAGCCACCGCCAUCUCAACCUCCUUCCCUCCACCUGGUGGAUGGCUUUUCAUAGUAAUGAAAACUAAAUUCUUGAUAUGGUAUAAAUGUUUUUCUGAAAAUAAUUUAUAAUUAAUGAAUUAAAACUUUCAACAACGGAUCUCUUGGCUCCU